CUCAACCACCUGGGCUUAAGCAGUCCUCCUGUUUCAGUCCCCCCAAGUAGCUGGAACUACAGGCACAACAUCAACCUGGUACUAGAGGAGGACGGAUUCACAAGAAUUGAAAAUUGAUGGGGAA